rnacentral:rRNA from 1 species
UACAGAGGUCUCAAGCGUUGUUCGGAUUCAUUGGGCGUAAAGGGUGCGUAGGUGGCGCCGUAAGUCGGGUGUGAAAUUUCGGAGCUUAACUCCGAAACUGCAUUCGAUACUGCGGUGCUUGAGGACUGGAGAGGAGACUGGAAUUCAUGGUGUAGCAGUGAAAUGCGUAGAGAUCAUGAGGAAGACCAGUGGCGAAGGCGGGUCUCUGGGCAACAACUGACGCUGAGGAGCGAAAGCGUGGGGAGCGAACAGG